rnacentral:rRNA from 1 species
AAAUUGAAGAGUUUGAUCAUGGCUCAGAUUGAACGCUGGCGGCAGGCCUAACACAUGCAAGUCGAACGGUAACAGGAAGCAGCUUGCUGCUUUGCUGACGAGUGGCGGACGGGUGAGUAAUGUCUGGGAAACUGCCUGAUGGAGGGGGAUAACUACUGGAAACGGUGGCUAAUACCGCAUAACGUCGCAAGACCAAAGAGGGGGACCUUCGGGCCUCUUGCCAUCAGAUGUGCCCAGAUGGGAUUAGCUAGUUGGUGAGGUAACGGCUCACCAAGGCGACGAUCCCUAGCUGGUCUGAGAGGAUGACCAGCCACACUGGAACUGAGACACGGUCCAGACUCCUACGGGAGGCAGCAGUGGGGAAUAUUGCACAAUGGGCGCAAGCCUGAUGCAGCCAUGCCGCGUGUAUGAAGAAGGCCUUCGGGUUGUAAAGUACUUUCAGCGGGGAGGAAGGUGUUGUGGUUAAUAACCACAGCAAUUGACGUUACCCGCAGAAGAAGCACCGGCUAACUCCGUGCCAGCAGCCGCGGUAAUACGGAGGGUGCAAGCGUUAAUCGGAAUUACUGGGCGUAAAGCGCACGCAGGCGGUCUGUCAAGUC